rnacentral:tRNA from 1 species
GCCAUAGCUCAGUGGCAGAGCAUCUGCUUUGCUUGCAGAAGGUCUCAGGUUCAAUCCCUGGUAUCUCCA